CUGAGAGUUUGAUCCUGGCUCAGAACGAACGCUGGCGGCAGGCUUAACACAUGCAAGUCGAACGAGAAGCCAGAGCUUGCUUUGGUGGAUAGUGGCGCACGGGUGAGUAACGCGUGG
rnacentral:rRNA from 1 species